UACGUAGGGACCGAGCGUUGUCCGGAUUUAUUGGGCGUAAAGAGCUCGUAGGCGGCUUGUUGCGUCGACUGUGAAAACCCGCGGCUUAACUGCGGGCUUGCAGUUGAUACGGGCAGGCUAGAGUUCGGUAGGGGAGACUGGAAUUCCUGGUGUAGCGGUGAAAUGCGCAGAUAUCAGGAGGAACACCGGUGGCGAAGGCGGGUCUCUGGGCCGAUACUGACGCUGAGGAGCGAAAGCGUGGGGAGCGAACAGG
rnacentral:rRNA from 1 species